CAGGCUGCCCUUCAAAGUGUUCAGGAAAAGGCCGCUGUGUGAAUUCCAGCUGUGAGUGUUUGGAAGGCUGGUCAGGGUCCGACUGCAGCAAAGGAUCUUGCGGGAAGUGCUCUUUCGGAAAAUGCGUGUCUGGAUUCUGCGAGUGUGUGCUUGGAUGGGAAGGCGCAGCCUGCGAUCAAAAGGCGACGUGCAACAAUGUGAACAACUGCACCAGCCCAGCUAACGGAGCGUGUAGGACGACAGACGCCUGUCAAUGUAAUCCUGGUUUCA